rnacentral:rRNA from 1 species
UACGUAGGGUGCGAGCGUUAAUCGGAAUUACUGGGCGUAAAGCGUGCGCAGGCGGUUUUGUAAGCCAGAUGUGAAAUCCCCGGGCUCAACCUGGGAACUGCGUUUGUGACUGUAUGACUAGAGUACGGUAGAGAGGGGUGGAAUUCCUGGUGUAGCAGUGAAAUGCGUAGAUAUCAGGAGGAACAUCGAUGGCGAAGGCAGCCCCUUGGACCUGUACUGACGCUCAUGCACGAAAGCGUGGGGAGCAAACAGG